GAUGAACGCUGGCGGCGUGCUUAACACAUGCAAGUCGAACGAUGAAGCCCAGCUUGCUGGGUGGAUUAGUGGCGAACGGGUGAGUAACACGUGAGUAACCUGCCCUUGACUCUGGGAUAAGCCUGGGAAACUGGGUCUAAUACUGGAUAUGACUUCUCAUCGCAUGGUGGGGGGUGGAGAGAUUUAUUGGUCUUGGAUGGACUCGCGGCCUAUCAGCUUGUUGGUGAGGUAAUGGCUCACCAAGGCGACGACGGGUAGCCGGCCUGAGAGGGUGACCGGCCACACUGGGACUGAGACACGGCCCAGACUCCUACGGGAGGCAGAAGUGGGGAAUAUUGCACAAUGGGCGCAAGCCUGAUGCAGCGACGCCGCGUGAGGGAUGACGGCCUUCGGGUUGUAAACCUCUUUCAGUAGGGAAGAAGCGAGAGUGACGGUACCUGCAGAAGAAGCGCCGGCUAACUACGUG
rnacentral:rRNA from 1 species